CCACUGCUUCUUCCCUGCCUCAAAAAGAGGCAAAUUCCUGGUGACCCGCUCAACAGUCCACCCACCCACACACUGACAAAAUGAGUGGAUCCUAAAUACCUAACAUAUGUGAACCCUUAUGCCCAGUGUAGAUCAAUUCCAAACGGGAGAAGAGGCAGCAAAGCCAGAGGUGUCAGAGAUGGAGGUGACCAGUUGUUCCAGGGAAGGAGCCAGAUGUCAGCAUAUUUUGGUGAAAAGUCCAGUACCAGAACCAAUACCAGAAGGAGAAGCCCAUGGUGGGACUAAUAGAUCCCAGCUACCUGGCAGUGGUGAAGUGGCAAAUUUGGGUGAAGGUGAAUUGGAUAAUGGAUACUGAGGUGCUGGUGAAUCAGCCAGGUGGAGAUAUUCUCUAAAUGAUGAGGUUCUGGAGAGGGAGUUGUCUCCUCCCUGCAGGACUGGGCAUGCCUACUCUCUGCCUGGUUGACCUUUGGAGUUAUCUCUGCAGGCCUGCUCCUGUCCUGCAGACAUGCUGGACCAGUUAAAGGUUAUUCUGUAGAAACCUCAACCAACAAGUCAAAAGAUGAGUUUCCUGCUCUUAAUAGAUAAUUUUUAUUGGUUUUGCAAUAAACGUAUGAAAUAGAAACAAUAGCAAUAAACUAGCUCAACAAGAAAUCGAAAGGCACAGGCCCCCAAAGCCCUUCCCGCCUCUCCUUAAUGAGUCUCUAAUUUAUAGACCGACUAGCAGGACCACUUUUCUUUUUCCAAGCUUUGCAAACUUUUCCAUUUUGGAGGCUUGAGGACUCUGGGGGCUGUGCGCUUGCUUCCACAUAGUUGCUGAACAGAAGCCAGGGCAGAGCAGUGCCAGACAAGAGAGGGUGGCACUACUUUGAAGCUUCAGAGUCUGGACUCCACCCUGUUUCUUCUGACUUUGAGGGUCUGCCUCCUUUUAAUUUCAUAUUUAUGUGCAGGGCAGAAAGGGAGAGGGACCAGAAGGAAAACUCAGCUGAGAUGGCCAAAGGCAGCUUUUUAAUGCUGGGC